CUAAAGAGGGUGGGCUUUGGCCUAUAAAAAGGUAUAAAAUAAUAAAUAACUGGAAAAAGUGAAAUAAAACGAAUGUUCGGCCGAAGAGAUGCAGGGGUAUAAGGGUUGCGGAAGAAACCGUGAUGUAAGGGAUGCUGGGAUGUAAGAGAGAGGAUAAAUGUAGAUCCGCACCCUUCGACGGUUGCACGAUGUCUGCUGGCUCGUGGUAUCAUACCUACUGACGGGGCACCUUCCCCUACGUUGGCUUAGACCGCCAUUUUCCCUAAAGUCGGUCGAUAAGUCGUCGAAUAGUUUUAGCCGUUUUUGUAUAGAUGGCGCUGGUUUUUAAUUUAUGGCGGUCUUUUUAAAAUACAAUUUUGUUAAACAAUUAUUUUAAUACUUUUUCAACUAAAAUCAUGACCCUUCGAGAACAAAGGCAUGUCCAGAGACUGUUUUUACAAUUGAAUUAUUAUAUAAUUAAGCGUGUGAAUGAGUACAAGUAAUUCUAGGCUGCAAAAAAAUACGCCAUUUAUCGCUGGUUUCUUUUUAAUAUCAAAUUGUAAGUAUAAUGAUUUUAUAAAAAUAUUCCAAAAAAGCGGUCACUCACAAUAAAGCAUCUCUGACGAUCGAAAUGUCGAAGUAUUAAUUUAUUUCUGGUAGAAAAGAGACAAAAGGGUAUUCACUAAUUCUUCAUCUUUAUUGUUACUGUGUAAAUAUGUAGGCACUGAACAAAUAAUGUUUCAUAAUUUGUUUACAAACAUUUACAUUUACUGAUCUCCAUUUUUUCUUUUUUAUUUAUUUAUUUUUUUCUGUUCAAUCAUUGAAUAUUCUCUGCGAGCAGCUUGACCAAAAGUAAGGUCAAGUCCGCUUUUAAUCCAUCUGCUCGACCAUUUUCUUUUAUUUUUUUUUUUAUUUUUUGUUCAUCAUUCAACACCCUCUUACGCGUAAAUACCGUUUAUCGUCUUUCAGCAUUGUAUGCGUUCGUCCCAAUUUCUAAUUACGAUCUCAAUAUUUCAUCAAUAAUAUAUAUAUAUAAUAUAUGUAUAUGUAUAUAUUUAUAUAUAUAUAUUUAUUUCGUUAUGUAUACUUUUUUUUUUUAAUCUCUAUCCGCUAAAUAUAUUGUUCUUCUAGUCUAAAAAUUACCACGAUUAUUAAAGAUAAUAUAUACUUCUGGGAAAUCAUAAUUAAAAUAAUAGUAAAUAUAAUAAUAUGUCAAACAUAUAUGUGUCCUGUGUCCAUCAUUGUGUUAUGCGUGUAAAAGAGAAAAAAGAUAGAAUGAUAAAAAGAGGGUGGUCGGAAGAGGUAAGAAGAGAAAGGUGGGACAGAGAUAUAAUAAGAUGUGGAUCACGGAAGGAAAUAUUCGACGAUAAACGAAAAUUCUAAACUUUGGCUAAGAGAAAAAACACGACAUAUUUACGUGAAACGGAGAAAAAGACGUCGUUUUUUUAUUUUUAGAAAUCGGGACACGUCGUCCCGUUCUCCGAUGAUUUUUUCCUACUACGCGAGUGUCAACCCUCGAACGACGAGCCAGGUCAAUCGUGACGAUUUAAUUAAAAUCAAGCGUACAAAUUUUUAAACAAAAUACUUCUAUACAUUGAUAUCAAAAGGAAUAGUUUAAAAUCUGGGAAGUAAAAAGUAAAUUAAGAUUGCCUUAGUGGUUCGUCAUACGAGGGUUGAAGUUAACACGUUGACUGGAACAGGUGAGAAUUGAAUUAUGUCAAAAGAAAAUUAAUAAAUUUUACUUGAUUUAACACCUCACCGACCGGAAGCUCAUUAAUGGACCUUUUGAUGGCAGUGGUUGUGUAUUAAAAUUUUGCUAUUCAUCAAAUGUUUAUUCAAGGGUUAAGUACUUAUAUUACUACUCCCUGUACCGAUAUGCGAUAAGAAACUGGCUUUUAAUAUUAUAUAAAGAUUAUUCCUUCCAAUUAAUUACUGUUAAGUUAUAAAGCUAUAGUGCUUAUCCAUUUAAUUCGCUAACGGAAGAUAAGGUGUUAAUAUCCUUAAUGAUCCAUAUUAUCUUGACACGGUUAUCUUUGCUGUCAGUCAACGUGUUAAAUAAAAUUAGUAAAAAGUUUUAAUGAAAUGAAUGAACGUACGAUGAUUUGCCAUUUAUAAAAGCCAAAUAAAAAUCGGAUCUCUUCUAGAGUGGAAAAGAGAGAAAGGACGAGAACAAAGAAUAAGAAGGACUUCGAAAUUGAUUUGUUUUGUUUGCUUGUUUGUUUGUUGCUUUUCUUUAUCACCUAACCGUUUCAGCCUUUUCUUCGUGUCUCAGGUAUAAAACUAAACGGGCGAUAAAGCCUUCGUGUAAAACUAUAUUCAUUACUCGUUAUACUUUGUUCUCUUCUAUUGUGCUCAAGUGUAACAACCUCUUUUGCUAUACAUGCGCGUAUCUUUCUUAUCUUUUUUUUUUUUAUCAUUUUUCUUUUUAUUACAUUGUUCUUCGUAUUUUGUAUACGUAUACACCUACCCCCUGAACGGAGGUUUCCGCGUAUCUGAAAAAUUGACAGACUCGAUUGCGUUCGUUAUACAUGAGACACUGACAAUGGCGAUGCUGUUCACCCAACAAUGAAAUUUUAUAAUGCUCGUUUAUUUAAAUCAACGACGAAUACAGUAGAACUUCAUUUGUUUAUCGAAAAAAGGAUUACCGAGGGAAUUAUGUUUGAAAGCUUUUAUGAGUUUUCAAAUUGGAAUUAGUACGUAAAAUAAAAUUAAAAAAAAAAAAAAAAAGAAAUGGAAUUGAA